GCCUGGGUGGCUCAGUCGGUUAAGCGUCUGACUUUGGCUCAGGUCAUGAUCUCACGGUCCGUGAGUUCGAGCCCCGCGUCGGGCU
rnacentral:tRNA from 1 species